GACGAACGCUGGCGGCGUGCCUAAUACAUGCAAGUAGAACGCUGAAGGAGGAGCUUGCUCUUCUGGAUGAGUUGCGAACGGGUGAGUAACGCGUAGGUAACCUGCCUGGUAGCGGGGAUUACCUUUUGAAACGAUUGCCUAUUCCGCCUUACAGUAGAUGCCUCAUUACCUUUUCUUAAAAGGUUCCAUUUCAUUACCUCCCGAUUGACCUGCGUUGUAUUAGCUAGGUGGUGGGGUUACGGGUCACCCAGGCGACGAAAACUUGCCCAACCGAGAGGGUGAUCGGACAAACUGGGACUGAGACACGGCCCAGACUACUACGGGAGGGAGCAGUAGGGAAUUUUCGGCAAUGGACGGAAGUCUGACCGAGCAACGCCGCGUGAGUGAAGAAGGUUUUCGGAUCGUAAAGCUCUGUUGUAAGAGAAGAACGAGUGUGAGAGUGGAAAGUUCACACUGUGACGGUAUCUUACCAGAAAGGGACGGCUAACUACGUG
rnacentral:rRNA from 1 species